CACUGUCCACUGGGGCUGGGAGUGGUGUGGGGGCUGAUGGUCUCGGGGCCCUCAAUCAGGGAGUGGAACUUGAUUUCACAUGAAAAGGAAAAAGAAAUCUAGCCGGCUCCUAAAGAGAGGCUCUGGACACAGCCAGGCUCCAGUUCCCAAGAGACCUUGGCAAGGAGGGCCCAGCUUCUCUGCACUGUCUGGUAGGCCUUCAGCUCUGGGAGUUCAGCUCUCUGUAUCCCCUAGAACGACUCUCCAUUGUACAACACCCAGCAGCAGGAAGAACUGAAGCAGAGUUUGACAUCCAGGCAGCGUGGACUCCGUCCAGAGACAGAGAAAGGUGAUCUGCUACGAUCAGACAGCCUUCUCAGUUCUCCUGAGUCAUUCCAGAAGACCCAGCAUGUCAUGAGGUCAACGUUUUCAUCUGCGAACUCAAAUGCUUUGUCAACCCAUUCUGCCAGGAUGGAAGAAGAUCAGCAUUGGGAGAGUUCAAAAUCACCCCAAAAGAAAACAAAACUAGCUGAAAUCAAGAAAAAGAAACGUGUUAGGUUUCUCUUACCUCACCAAACUGAGAGAAAAAGAAGACCCUCUUCCCCUCGAGAUGCAGAUCAGGAGAUGUUCACAUGUGAAUGCUGCUACUGUCAGAAGGAUGUGGGGAACAUGUCUGGCGUCUCCAUGGGGACGGGGACCACGACAGAAGCAGCCUCUCAUUCACCCUCCUGUGAAAAUCUGAUACUAGACCUCGGUAACUUGUCACUCAACCCUGAUACCACCCAGCCCACUCUUGUGCAAGAAAUACAAAACAGAGAAAAGAACAAGACGCAUUGGCAGCAGAAAAGCAAAAAGUCGUUUCAAAGGCUUCUCCACGAAUGGACAGAAUAACUCUGGCAUUGUUAUCCUCAUGUGAAGAAGAUCAGAACCUACAGGAUCAUGAAUGUCAACAACACCAAACCCUAGGGUGAAAUCUUUUUGGGAGCACGGUCAGAAGGAGUAAAAAUGUCCAGCCUGGUGACAAUAAUAUCUUCAGAUGGCGAGUUUCAAACCUAUUCCAGAAAUGUAACAGUCGUUUUCUUAGUGGUUUUGGCAUCCCCUCUGGGGCAUUCUGGGAACAGAUGCUCCUUGGCUAGGGCAACCAGAUAGCGAUGGUUCUGUACUCCCCAUGCUGUUGUUCCCAUGGGGCCAUCUACCAAUUUCCCCUCCUCCGGUCUCGGCUUUUCCUCCUUUACUUUGUUGCCAAUAAAGUUAGAACAUCGA